rnacentral:tRNA from 1 species
AAUGAAGUGUCUGAAUGAAAAGAGUUAUUUUGAUAGAAUAAAAAAUGUAAUUUAAUUACCUUCAUUA